rnacentral:lncRNA from 1 species
GCUGGUGCAUAGCCCGGUGCUGUAUAUUCCAGCUCCGCGUGUCGGCCGGGCUAGAUUGAGCGUCGAGCCUAAUGCCAUGAAGCCGGCUCUACGCAUCUGGUCCCCAGUGCGUCUCCUUGGGCCGGCUUACAUGGCACCAGCCUUGCGCUCGGUGUCUCCGGUUCGCCUGCAUAGCCCAGUGCGGGCUAUUCCACCUCGCCGCACUGGCAGGGCGACCGUGAGCAUUCAACCAGGUAAGGUUGGGCAGGCUCGGUGCUCAAGAGCUCCAGUGCGCCUGCACGGUCCGGUCUUUCCAGUACCACCUCGACACCCCAGCCCUCCGGUAGCAGCUCCCCGCACCAGGCUUCCUGUGCGUGUCCUCGGCCCAGUACCACCAGUGCCAGCACCACGCAUCAGGCCUACAGUGCGCCUCGCCUGUCCAGCGCUGCCGGAGCCUUCUUCCUCUCCAGCGCUGUCGGAGUCUCCCGCCUGUCUAGCGCUGUUAGAGCCUUCCUCCUCUACAGCGCUGCCGGAGUCUCCCGCCUGUUCAGAACUGCCAGUCUGCAAGGAGCUGCCAGUCUGCAAGGAGCUGCCAGUCUGCAAGGAGCUGCCAGUCUGCAAGGAGCUGCCAGUCUGCAAGGAGCUGCCAGUCUGCAAGGAGCUGCCAGUCUGCAAGGAGCUGCCAGUCUGCAAGGAGCUGCCAGUCUGCAAGGAGCUGCCAGUCUGCAGGAUGCCGCCAGGGCCGCCAGUCUGCAGGAUGCCGCCAGGGCCGCCAGUCUGCAAGGAUGCCGCCAGGGCCGCCAGUCUGCAGGAUGCCGCCAGGGCCGCCAGUCUGCAGGAUGCCGCCAGGGCCGCCAGUCUGCAGGAUGCCGCCAGGGCCGCCAGUCUGCAGGAUGCCGCCAGGGCCGCCAGUCUACAGGAUGCCGCCAGGGCCGCCAGUCUGCAGGAUGCCGCCAGUCUGCAGGAUGCCGCCAGUCUGCAGGAUGCCGCCAGUCUGCAGGAUGCCGCCAGUCUGCAGGAUGCCGCCAGGGCCGCCAGUCUGCAGGAUGCCGCCAGGGCCGCCAGUCUGCAGGAUGCCGCCAGGGCCGCCAGUCUGCAGGAUGCCGCCAGGGCCGCCAGUCUGCAGGAUGCCGCCAGGGCCGCCAGGGCCGCCAGUCUGCAUGGAGCAGCCAGGGCCGCCAGUCUGCAUGGAGCAGCCAGGGCCGCCAGUCUGCAUGGAGCAGCCAGGGCCGCCAGUCUGCAUGGAGCAGCCAGGGCCGCCAGUCUGCAUGGAGCAGCCAGGGCCGCCAGUCUGCAUGGAGCAGCCAGGGCCGCCAGUCUGCAUGGAGCAGCCAGGGCCGCCAGUCUGCAUGGAGCAGCCAGGGCCGCCAGUCUGCAUGGAGC